rnacentral:rRNA from 1 species
CAAUAGCGUAUAUUAAAGUUGUUGCAGUUAAAAAGCUCGUAGUUGGAUUUCUGGUGGGAGCGAUCGGUCUGGCGCUUAGCGCGAGUACUUGCAUCGUCUCCGGCCAUCCUUGGGGAGAGUCUGUCUGGCAUUAGGUUGUCGGGCAGAGGAUCCUCAUCGUUUACUGUGAAAAGAUUAGAGUGUUCAAAGCAGGCUUAUGCCGUUGAAUAUAUUAGCAUGGAAUAAUAAGAUAGGACUUUGGUACUAUUUUGUUGGUUUGCGCACCAAAGUAAUGAUUAAUAGGGACAGUUGGGGGUAUUCGUAUUCCGUUGUCAGAGGUGAAAUUCUUGGAUUUACGGAAGACGAACUACUGCGAAAGCAUUUACCAAGGAUGUUUUCAUUAA